AAGUCGUAACAAGGUUUCCGUAGGUGAACCUGCGGAAGGAUCAUUAUUGAAUAAACCUGAUGUGGUUGUAGCUGGCCUUUCUGGCAUGUGCUCGCCCGUCAUCUUUAUCUUUCCACCUGUGCACAUUUUGUAGACUUGGAUGUAACACUUUCUGAGGAAACUCAGUCGAGAGGAUUGCUUCAUUAGCUUUCCUUGCACGUCCAAGUCUAUGUUUUUACAUACCCCAAAGAAUGUAACAGAAUGUAUUAUUGGGCCUUGUGGCCUAUAAACUAUAUACAACUUUCAGCAACGGAUCUCUUGGCUCUC
rnacentral:misc_RNA from 1 species